GACGAACGCUGGCGGCGUGCCUAAUACAUGCAAGUUGAGCGAUGAAGAUUGGUGCUUGCACCAAUUUGAAGAGCAGCGAACGGGUGAGUAACGCGUGGGGAAUCUGCCUUUGAGCGGGGGACAACAUUUGGAAACGAAUGCUAAUACCGCAUAACAACUUUAAACAUAAGUUUUAAGUUUGAAAGAUGCAAUUGCAUCACUCAAAGAUGAUCCCGCGUUGUAUUAGCUAGUUGGUGAGGUAAGGGCUCACCAAGGCGAUGAUACAUAGCCGACCUGAGAGGGUGAUCGGCCACAUUGGGACUGAGACACGGCCCAAACUCCUACGGGAGGCAGCAGUAGGGAAUCUUCGGCAAUGGACGAAAGUCUGACCGGGCAACGCCGCGUGAGUGAAGAAGGUUUUCGGAUCGUAAAACUCUGUUGGUAGAGAAGAACGUUGGUGAGAGUGGAAAGCUCAUCAAGUGACGGUAACUACCCAGAAAGGGACGGCUAACUACGUG
rnacentral:rRNA from 1 species